GAAUUCUUUUUUUGUCAAUUCUCAUGUUUGGAAACCUAUUAGGUGAAAUAAUUCAAUUCAUUUUAACCAAUCUUUGUAUCUGUAUUUGUUUGUAAUCUCUGUAUCUGUGUUUGUACCAAAUCUUUUUGUAGACUGGGUGAAUUACAGGUAUAUAUCCCUCUUUAAUUGAAAUUGAAGGCAAGGAGGAAGGAAAGAAGUGUACAUUGGAACUGUCAUAUAUAUUGCAUCUUCUUUUCCCCACGGUGUCAACUACUUUAGAGCUUUGAUCAUGAUAAAAUGCAGAUGAAGAUAAAUUGAAAAUUGAAGUAGUUCUGAAAAGAUUUUGAAUGACUUUAAUUAAAUUGAAAUUUGUAUCUCAUGUAAUUGUCUUAGAAUAUUAAAAUGAGAAACCGCAGAGGUACAGGUAUUUGGUGCUCUGAGAAUUU
rnacentral:misc_RNA from 1 species